GGGGUUGUGACUCAGUGGUAGAGCGCUUGCCUAGCAUGUGUGAGGCUCUGAGUUCAAUUCUCAGCACCACA
rnacentral:tRNA from 1 species